rnacentral:rRNA from 1 species
UAGGGAAUAUUGCACAAUGGGCGCAAGCCUGAUGCAGCGACGCCGCGUGAGUGAUGAAGGCCUUCGGGUCGUAAAGCUCUGUUGUACGGGAAGAAAAAACCAUGGCUAAUAUCCAUGGUCUUGACGGUACCGUAUCAGAAAGGACCGGCUAACUUCGUGCCAGCAGCCGCGGUAAGACGAGGGGUCCUAGCGUUGUUCGGAAUCACUGGGCGUAAAGCGUAUGUAGGCGGCUUUCUAAGUCGGUUGUGAAAUCCCAUGGCUUAACCAUGGAAUUGCAUUCGAAACUGGAAAGCUUGAGUGUGGGAGAGAUUGGUAGAAUACCUGGUGUAGUGGUGAAAUACGUAGAUAUCAGGUGGAAUACCGGUGGCGAAGGCGGCCAAUUGGCCCAACACUGACGCUGAGAUACGAAAGCGUGGGGAUCAAACAGG